rnacentral:misc_RNA from 1 species
AUGCGAAUCUACUGCCAAUACCAAACCACAUUGAUUUUUCUGUUAUUUCUAGCAUUUUGGCUUUAUUUUUGGUAUUAUUUAUUAAUUGAUCUAGUCUACGGCGUAACCCACCUGGUUAUACCACUACAACCGCUGAAAAACCGGGAACUGAAAGCUUUUGUCACCUCGGCAUACUAUUAUCCAACUUCUAAAAGUCUCGGUGACAAUGCGGUGGCCCUUGUGAUGUCUAUAAAUUUGGGCCGGAAUCAGGAAGAAUAUCUGGAAAUUGAAUCAGGAAAAUCUACAGAUUCUGGUGAAAUAUCAAUUUGGGCCAAAAAUGCGACCACUAGUAUUUUGGUUAACACUCCUUCUAUCAGGGUAACUCCACAUAAUUUCUGUGAAAUGGUCACCAUAUUUGCUACAACUCAACUUUUGCCAAAUAUUCAAUCCAUAUUAUUAGUUGCAGAAGAUGGAUCUACUGAGAUCCCAUUUUCAAUUCCGUCCUACAAACCCCGAGACUUUGUAGUUUGUCUCUCCCCGCUUUACGUCUUCGAACAAUGGCAAAACUUUCUUCUUUCAGUGCAUAUUUACAAAAAAUUUGGUGGAUUUUUACAUUUGUAUUUGAUUAGUGUUGUUUCCCCGUUGUUUUCACUUAUGAAGCAAUAUGAAAGUGCGGAUUAUCUAAAAAUCCAGGCCUGGCCACGUGUCAAUUUUCCAUUUAUAAUGCCAAAAUACGUGGAUCCGUUUGUUGGAGUCGAGUUUCAGAAUCAGGCCGCGGCCUACACGGACUGCCUGCUACAAUACAAGGAAUCCGCCCAGUUCAUCACAUUUCUGGACAUUGAUGACGUCAUAAUUCCUCGCCUGGCGCCUACCUACGUCGAGGAGUUCCAAAAAAUAAUAGGCAGCCAAAAACGAAUUUCUUAUAUAAUUUAUCACCAAAAAAGUUAUAAUUUAAAGGUUUCAAAGCGUUCUUCUGAGUUUUCCAUCUCGAAAAUGCUGAAAAAUUUGAAAUUUCGCGACGGGAAUUUUGGCUCCGGACAAAAAAUUGUGGCAAAUCCGAGGUACUUAAAUUAUACGUGGAUUGAGCCGACGAGUUUUUCGAUGGCUGGAACUAGUUAUGUGGAUACUGAUAAAAAUGUUAUAACUCAAUUGGAUAAUAUUAAAUGGACAAACUCAAUCUCCACUACCUCCCAGGCUCCCUUGUAUCUCAACUCCUCCGAAUACCUAAUUUCACCAGAAAACCUCGAGGACCUCGACUCAGACUUCCAGAAAAUGCAAAAAUCCUUCGAAAUCGACCAAAUUCUUCCGGAUCUUCCCAGCAAACUUUAUUAUUUCAAUUCAGUUCGCAGUUGUCUGACGAAAAAAUAUUUCAACUACGUAAAAUUGGAAAAAUACGGAAAAACCCAGUGUCCGGGACCCCAAAUGUAAUUUGCUCCACGAUGUCUUCCUCACGGCUCACGAUCAACAAGUUGGCACCAGAGAAUGAACAGGAUCGAUUCCAGCGAAACAAAAUAUUUCUGGUCUGAUUGCGAAAAUACCGUUAGCACCAAUGCUUCCAAAUCACUAUCUCGGUAACAUGGGCAAUAUUAAAUAUGAUCUUCAAAAAAAGCUUGGUAAUGAAAAACUGUUCCUCAAUUGGGAAGUGUCGUCAGAGCCAAGUUCGAUUUGGGAAAGGUCAACAUUGAAAAUGAAAGAAACCGAAGCUGCCUACAAACAGCCGUCAGAAACCCAAGGAAUAUCCGUCGCCGUCUCUUCUUCUUUCAAGCUGCAAAAAUCUGUUUUUUGA